CAAUCUACCUUCAAGAGGGAAACAACCUGCCGAAAGGCGGGCUAAUGUCCCAUAAGACCACAGGGUGGCAUCAUCCAGGGGUCAAAGCUCCGCAAGGGGCGCUAGAAGAGGAGCCUGAGUCCUAUCAUGGUAGUUGGUGAGGUAAUGGCUCACCAAGCCGUUGACGGGUAGCCGGCCUGAAAGGGUGAUCGGCCACACUGGCACUGAGACACGGGCCAG
rnacentral:rRNA from 1 species